AGUGAACGCUGGCGGUAGGCCUAACACAUGCAAGUCGAACGGCAGCACAGUAAGAGCUUGCUCUUACGGGUGGCGAGUGGCGGACGGGUGAGGAAUACAUCGGAAUCUACUUUUUCGUGGGGGAUAACGUAGGGAAACUUACGCUAAUACCGCAUACGACCUACGGGUGAAAGCAGGGGAUCUUCGGACCUUGCGCGAUUGAAUGAGCCGAUGUCGGAUUAGCUAGUUGGCGGGGUAAAGGCCCACCAAGGCGACGAUCCGUAGCUGGUCUGAGAGGAUGGUCAGCCACACUGGAACUGAGACACGGUCCAGACUCCUACGGGAGGCAGCAGUGGGGAAUAUUGGACAAUGGGCGCAAGCCUGAUCCAGCCAUACCGCGUGGGUGAAGAAGGCCUUCGGGUUGUAAAGCCCUUUUGUUGGGAAAGAAAAGCAGCAGGUUAAUACCCCGCUGUUCUGACGGUACCCAAAGAAUAAGCACUGGCUAACUUCGU
rnacentral:rRNA from 1 species